GACGAACGCUGGCGGCGUGCUUAACACAUGCAAGUUGAACGCUGAAGCCCUUUCGGGGGUGGAUGAGUGGCGAACGGGUGAGUAACACGUGGGUAAUCUGCCCUGCACUCUGGGAUAAGCCUUGGAAACGGGGUCUAAUACCGGAUAGGACACAUCGCCGCAUGGUGUGUGUGUGGAAAGUUCCGGCGGUGCAGGUUGAGCCCGCGGCCUAUCAGCUUGUUGGUGGGGUGAUGGCCUACCAAGGCGACGACGGGUAGCCGGACUGGUGGGGUGGCCGGCCACACUGGGACGGAGACACGGCCCAGACUCCUACGGGAGGCAGCAGGGGGGAAGCUGGCGCAAUGGGCGAAAGCCUGACGCAGCAACGCCGCGUGGGGGGUGACGGCCUUCGGGUUGUAAACCUCUUUCGACCGGGACGAAGGGUGACUGACGGUACCGGUAGAAGAAGCACCGGCUAACUACGUGCCAGCCGCCGCCGUAA
rnacentral:rRNA from 1 species